CCUGAUGCAGCGACGCCGCGUGAGGGAUGACGGCCUUCGGGUUGUAAACCUCUUUCAGCAGGGACGAAGCGCAAGUGACGGUACCUGUAGAAGAAGGACCGGCCAACUACGUGCCAGCAGCCGCGGUAAUACGUAGGGUCCGAGCGUUGUCCGGAAUUACUGGGCGUAAAGAGCUCGUAGGUGGUUUGUCGCGUUGUUCGUGAAAACUCACAGCUUAACUGUGGGCGUGCGGGCGAUACGGGCAGACUUGAGUACUGCAGGGGAGACUGGAAUUCCUGGUGUAGCGGUGGAAUGCGCAGAUAUCAGGAGGAACACCGGUGGCGAAGGCGGGUCUCUGGGCAGUAACUGACGCUGAGGAGCGAAAGCGUGGGGAGCGAACAGGAUUAGAUACCCUGGUAGUCCACGCCGUAAACGGUGGGUACUAGGUGUGGGUUUCCUUCCUUGGGAUCCGUGCCGUAGCUAACGCAUUAAGUACCCCGCCUGGGGAGUACGGCCGCAAGGCUAAAACUCAAAGAAAUUGACGGGGGCCCGCACAAGCGGCGGAGCAUGUGGAUUAAUUCGAUGCAACGCGAAGAACCUUACCUGGGUUUGACAUGCACAGGACGUGCCUAGAGAUAGGUAUUCCCUUGUGGCCUG
rnacentral:rRNA from 2 species